GGUGGGGUAGGUGGAGAAUGGCUGGAGGGUGGGCCCAGCCGAGCCCCUCCUGAAGCAACAGCAGCUUGGCUGUGGCCCCCAGGCUGGGCCGGAUGGUGUCAGGUUUCUAGUCUUGACCGAGCCCACCCCUGAGCUGCGGAGCAUUCCUGCCUAGGAGUCUGGAGUUGGGGGUGGGGAGCCAGAGCUCAUCGCCUUGGGUACUCCACCUGUAGUCCCCUCUGAGGAACGCAGGGAAUCCAACUGCGGCUUCAUCCAGGAGCCUGAGGAGAGAUGGUGGCAGGCAGGGCUGAACACCAGACUCCUAGUUAGGCCUUCCCUGGGUGAGGUCGAGCUCGCCCGCCCUUUAGAGGGUGUCUGCACCCUACAGUGGCCACUUAGAAGCAACCCGGACCGGCGGGCUCCUGUCGACCUGGCUUUUGAGGCUUUUGUGAAAGCGUUCCGCAUCCAGGAGCCAGCAGUGCCAGCACCUCUGACAUAGGAGCUGCCCAGGUUGUACAGGACGAAGGGCUAUCUUCGUAUGGAUGCUUGGAGGGGCGAAGCCUGAAAGCCCCUUGACUGUUACCUUGCCAGAGUGCCUUGUACGACAGCUGCAGGGUUCUCUUGCUCUCUGUGCUUGCUUUGGGUUUUUAUUUCUUGAGCUGUGUGAAGCAGCCGUGGGAUCUCACGGAGGAGCCGCACCUGAAUCAGCCUGCAGAGGCAUCAUCUGCUAGUCCGUAAGCCUGCAGGGAGCAGGUGUUGCAGGCAGAUCUCAGCCUGACCCUGCCGUGUGAAUCACCCCAAUAAAGGGGUCCAGAUGGGACCUGUGCAGACUAA